AGAGUUUGAUCAUGGCUCAGAACGAACGCUGGCGGCGUGGAUAAGACAUGCAAGUCGAGCGAGAUUUUUUCCUGUAGCAAUAUAGGGAAAAGUCUAGCGGCGAACGGGUGCUUAACACGUGGGCAAUCUGCCGAGAAGUGGGGGAUAGCUCGCCGAAAGGCGAAUUAAUACCGCAUGUGAUCAGAGUGGACAUCCAUUUAAAAUUAAAGUCGGGGCAACCUGACGCUUCUUGAGGAGCCCGCGGCCUAUCAGCUAGUUGGUGAGGUAACGGCCCACCAAGGCUUUGACGGGUAGCUGGUCUGAGAGGACGACCAGCCACACUGGGACUGAGACACGGCCCAGACACCUACGGGUGGCAGCAGUCGAGAAUUUUUCUCAAUGGGGGAAACCCUGAAGGAGCGACGCCGCGUGGAGGAUGAAGGUCUUCGGAUUGUAAACUUCUGUCAUUGGGGAACAAGGUGCAUACGUUAACUGCGUGUGCAUUGAUAGUACCCGAAGAGGAAGAGACGGCUAACUCUGUGCCAGCAGCCGCGGUAAUACAGAGGUCUCAAGCGUUGUUCGGAUUCAUUGGGCGUAAAGGGUGCGUAGGCGGCGCGGUAAGUCGGGUGUGAAAUUCUUGGAGCUUAACUCCGAAACUGCAUUCGAUACUGCCGUGCUUGAGGACUGGAGAGGAGACUGGAAUUUACGGUGUAGCGGUGAAAUGCGUAGAUAUCGUAAGGAAGACCAGUGGCGAAGGCGGGUCUCUGGACAGUUCCUGACGCUGAGGCACGAAGGCCAGGGGAGCAAACGGGAUUAGAUACCCCGGUAGUCC
rnacentral:rRNA from 1 species